rnacentral:rRNA from 1 species
AGGUUUACUGCCGAAGGAUCGGCCCGCGUCUGAUUAGCUAGUUGGUGGGGUAACGGCUCACCAAGGCGACGAUCUAUAGCUGGUCUGAGAGGAUGAUCAGCCACAUCGGGACUGAGACACGGCCCGAACUCCUACGGGAGGCAGCAGUGGGAAUCUUGGACAAUGGGCGCAAGCCUGAUCCAGCCAUGCCGCGUGAGUGAUGAAGGCC